UUCCUCCGGGUGCUCCGGUUUUCUCCACAAGUCCAAAGACGUGCUACAUGUGGAUUGGUGGGAUGAUGAUGAUGCUCCAUACCCACCUCUACAGAUGGUUGAAAGUCCUUUGCAAAGUGUUGGAGAAUAGGAGUUAAAAGGCAUUAUUACAUCC